rnacentral:tRNA from 1 species
GCUCAGUUAGUUCAAUUGGUAGAAUGCUAGAUAAUAUACUUUUUAUCACAGAAAUGCAGAUUCAAAUUCUGCACUGGGCC